CUACACAGACAGGAUAGAUCACGCAUCAAGAUGCGUAGUAUGUAGAACCUACACCGAGGUUCACAUCAGGGAGAGUAGUGCGUGCUGUACUCUUUUUCCUUCAUCAUGGUUUUGUCCCACUGGGUUUUCCUGAUAAGGUUUUAAUGAGGCAACAUUAAGCGUACUACAAAUCCUGUAUGCGCCAGUUGAAGGAUCUUCGGUGAUGCCUUCAUCAGGGGGAGUGUCAUGUGUUGUGCUCUUUUUCCUGUCUACGGUUUCCAUUUUUUCCCACCUUGGGUUUUUGGUUUUCCCAGAGAGGUUUUAAUGAGGCAACGUCGUGCAUGAUACAAAUCCAUAUGGUUAUGGCAUCCAAGGGGGAGUGUUAUAAAUCAUUAUGUGGAUGGCCCAUAACCAAGACCAAGACAAGGCCCAGCCGUGUACAAGAGGAGAGAGAGUCGGCGGCCAAGUUCCUAGUCGGCCAAGACUUAGGAUGUUUUCCAUUUAUCUGUUUUAGAUCUUUUCCUAUUUCAUGUUGUAUUAGGUUUUAGAUAAUUUCUUUUUUCCUAUAUUUUGUAAUCCUUAUGUAAGGAACUUCUAUUACUCAUUAAUAAGACACACGAAAUAUUCAGUCUUAAACCCUUCGUUUACAACAGACUUUAUAUUUUGGUGAUAUAAGAUAUUAGAUUUCUCGAGGGAACUUUUAAAGUUGACAAACGUCACUUUGAAACAUUUGACCAAAAUAUUUAUAUUGGCCGCAUGAUAUAUAACAGGGAUUUUUGGAUUUUGUAAGAAAGUCCAAUACGCUUCUAUUGUGCAAUUAGGAAUGUCAAAGGAAGGCUUGGCCCGCGGGAUAAGCCUGUUUAAACCUGUGGCAGAGCGGGAUUGGGCCUAAGAUCUGUUAUUCCGCAAUGUCGCGGGCCUCACGGGAAUAGACCUGUGCGGAAUGGGCUUUGUGUGGGAUGGACCGAAGAAGACCGCGGUUAACCCUAAUGUCCCACAGCUUUUUCUCUCUUCAUUUCAUCCGCCACCUGAAAAACAAAAGAGAGAGAGCUAGAGUGAAAGAGGAGUCGCCGCCACAAGAAAUGGAGCUCCGGCCAUGGUUUCUUCAUCGAUGAUGUUUCCUGUCUACCCUUCGCCUUCUAUCUCCUCCAGUGAAGCUUCUUGGAAACAUAACAAGAAGUUUGCGAAGUAACUCUCCAUCGAAGAAGAAGAUCCAGCUCCGGCCAUGGUUUCUUCAUCGACGGUGCUCCUGGGCUCUCAUGCAGUCCAUGCAUGUACGUCUUCUUCUCUUUCUCUCAAGUUUCAACCUUUUGUUUCUCUCAGAUUUCAUCAUAAAAAAAAAGACUUUUUUUAUAGUUGGAAUCCGUGAGAAACAGAGGAUAUUAGCGAUUAUGGGUUCCAUCACUCUGCCCAUAACGAGACUUCCACUACUCAACCUGACUUCUUCAUCAUUUUCACUUCCUCCUCCUCUCUCUAAUCCUCGUCGUCGCUCCAAUUUUUGACCGUUGGUCAUCACCGCAUCUGCCGUCUUCGCAGCUCCUUCUGAUGUUAAUAACUAUGUUCCGGUUAGUGCGCUUGUUCACCCUUUUCAUCUUUAAAGUUUGAAACUUUGCUUGUUUGAUCGUGUGAGAUUUGUUUCAGGCUAAAAACAGAGGUUACACAGUUGGUGAUUUCAUGACAGGGAGACAACAUCUGCAUGUUGUUAAUCCCUCAACAUCGGUUGAUGAUGGUAAUAUUGCUAAACAUGACAACAAUCUUCCUUGUAAUAAAUUAAUAAUAUCUACCGAACAUGUAGUCCCUAUGAUUUGUAUUUAUCCUUGAAAUUGUAACAACAUUGGAACUUCUGGUGGAGAAGAAAGUCACAGGAUUGCAUGUAAUUGAUGAUGAUUGGAAUCUGGUUGGCGUUGUUUCUGAUUACAACUUACUUGCACUCGACUCCAUCUCUGAUGGAGAAGGAGGCGGAUGGUACUCACUGUGAAAGCUGGUGUAGGCUCAAAACGAUAUAAGCACACCAGCUUGUUCAUUGAUAACCAGCCGCCUCCUUGUUCAAGAGAAGAAGAUACAAGACCCAACUAAACAUGUAUGGUCUUACUUUAUUUUAUCCCUGCUUGUCGAAUCACUUUGAUAACCAGCCGCUUAUAAUUUUCUUCUUUGCAUUGUGUACGUGGAUCAUACUGUUUACACGUCUUCUUUUUUUUGUUUUCUGUCUUGAGGUAUUGGAUUUAUCACAAGGAGAACAAGAGUCCGUAGAGCAGCUGCUCCAGUAGUUACCAGCUUCGUCCGAUGUAGGUGCUUUAAUGACCUCAGGUUAGUAAGUUGUCCAUAGAACACAUUCGAGAUUAUAUGGCUUUGCGUAGGUUAUCGAAUCACUGACUUGUUUAGGUUGCUUUCGUAGAUGAUAGAACAUUGACUUGUUUAGAUGGCUUUGCGUAGGUUAUCGGAUCACUUGAUGUUUACGUUGCUUUGCUUGUUUACGUUGCUUUACUUGUCGAAUCACAUUGAGUUGUUUAGAACGUGAUUUUAAACCAGAGAUUUGUUUUUGUGUACUUGUAUAAUAAAAUUUGGAAAUUUGAAAAUAAACAAUUGUAACAGAUUUUUAAAAAUAUAUUAACAAUUUUUUUAAAAAAUAGAAAAAAUUUAGGAAACCCUAAAAAGGUUAUUUCAUUCCACGGCGUGAAAAAAAAAACACAAAACUUGAGAGCGAGAGAAACCAUGGGAUCAAGGAGCGAGUCCGAAGAUCAGUCGACGUUUGAUCCGCAUUACUCCCCACCAAAUACCGUGGACUUUGCCACUCAGGAAGUCUAAGCUACUCUUGCUGCAGCAGCUGAGGUUGCUGAUCAGAUCACUUCUCAGGAAGCUGGUGUAACUCGUGCUGAUGGGAAGCAGCAAGGAAGCAGAAAAAGGCUUAUCAGUCUUGUCGAUGAUACUGAUGAUUCUGAUGUUGAAAUCAGUCAACCAACCCAAAAAACCAAGCCUUGCAGACAUACCAGUUUCGGAACAGCCACGAGGAAACCCAUGUUGCAAUCCACUAUAGAUGGUGG